rnacentral:rRNA from 1 species
GUCGAACGAGGGCCCGGGGCUUGCUCCGGUUACCCUAGUGGCGGACGGGUGAGUAACGCGUGGGAACCUGCCCUGGAGCGGGGAAUAAUCGCUGGAAACGGCGGCUAAUACCGCAUACGCCCUCAGGGGGAAAGGCUUCGGCCACUCUAGGAUGGUCCCGCGUCCGAUUAGCUUGUUGGUGGGGUAACGGCCUACCAAGGCGACGAUCGGUAGCUGGUCUGAGAGGAUGAUCAGCCACACUGGGACUGAGACACGGCCCAGACUCCUACGGGAGGCAGCAGUGGGGAAUAUUGGACAAUGGGGGAAACCCUGAUCCAGCAAUGCCGCGUGAGUGAAAAAGGCCUUAGGGUUGUAAAACUCUUUCACCCGUGAAGAUGAUGACGGUAGCGGGAGAAGAAGCUCCGGCUAACUCCGUGCCAGCAGCCGCGGUAAUACGGAGGGGGCUAGCGUUGUUCGGAAUUACUGGGCGUAAAGCGCGCGUAGGCGGCUUAUCAAGUUAGGCGUGAAAGGCCUGGGCUCAACCCGGGAACUGCGCUUAAUACUGGUAGACUUGAGUCCGGGAGAGGGUGGCGGAAUUCCCAGUGUAGAGGUG